rnacentral:rRNA from 1 species
UACGUAGGGGGCAAGCGUUGUCCGGAAUCAUUGGGCGUAACAGAGCGCGUAGGCGGUCCGGUAAGUCCGCUCUGAAAGCCCGGGGCUCAACCCCGGGAGGCGGGCGGAUACUGUCGGGCUAGAGUCCGGAAGAGGCGAGUGGAAUUCCUGGUGUAGCGGUGAAAUGCGCAGAUAUCAGGAGGAACACCGAUGGCGAAGGCAGCUCGCUGGGACGGUACUGACGCUGAGGCGCGAAAGCGUGGGGAGCAAACAGG